UGAAGAAACGUCCCUGUGGCUAUUCUGUGGU
rnacentral:piRNA from 1 species